UACGGAGGAUGCAAGCGUUAUCCGGAUUUAUUGGGUUUAAAGGGUGCGUAGGCGGUAUUUUAAGUCAGUGGUGAAAUCUGGUUGCUCAACAAUCAAAGGGCCAUCGGUACUGGGAUACUUGAGAGAAGUGGAGGCUUUUGGAAUGGAUGGUGUAGCGGUGAAAUGCUCAGAUACCAUCCAGAACACCGAUUGCGAAGGCAGCAGGCUAGGGCGCAACUGACGCUCAUGCACGAAAGCGUGGGGAGCAAACAGG
rnacentral:rRNA from 1 species